GGACUACAGGGGUAUCUAAUCCUGUUUGCUCCCCGCGCUUUCGUGCCUCAGCGUCAGUUACAGUUUAGCGAGCUGCCUACGCAAUCGGUGUUCUGUGUCAUAUCUAAGCAUUUCACCGCUACAUGACACAUUCCGCCCACUUCAAAUGUACUCAAGACCAUCAGUAUCAAUGGCAAUUCUACAGUUAGGCUGCAGGAUUUCACCACUGACUUAAUAGUCCGCCUACGCACCCUUUAAACCCAAUAAAUCCGGAUAACGCUUGGGACCUUCGUAUUACCGCGGCUGCUGGCAC
rnacentral:rRNA from 1 species